GAUGAACGCUGGCGGCGUGCCUAAUACAUGCAAGUCGAGCGAACGGACGAGAAGCUUGCUUUUCUGAUGUUAGCGGCGGACGGGUGAGUAACACGUGGAUAACCUUCCUAUAAGACUGGGAUAACUUCGGGAAACCGGAGCUAAUACCGGAUAAUAUUUUGAACCGCAUGGUUCAAAAGUGAAAGACGGUCUUGCUGUCACUUAUAGAUGGAUCCGCGCUGCAUUAGCUAGUUGGUAAGGUAACGGCUUACCAAGGCAACGAUGCAUAGCCGACCUGAGAGGGUGAUCGGCCACCCUGGAACUGAGACACGGUCCAGACUCCUACGGGAGGCAGCAGUAGGGAAUCUUCCGCAAUGGGCGAAAGCCUGACGGAGCAACGCCGCGUGAGUGAUGAAGGUCUUCGGAUCGUAAAACUCUGUUAUUAGGGAAGAACAUAUGUGUAAGUAACUGUGCACAUCUUGACGGUACCUAAUCAGAAAGCCACGGCUAACUACGUG
rnacentral:rRNA from 1 species